UCGUCACACUAUCAUUAACUGAAUCCAUAGGUUAAUGAGGCGAACCGGGGGAACUGAAACAUCUAAGUACCCCGAGGAAAAGAAAUCAACCGAGAUUCCCCCAGUAGCGGCGAGCGAACGGGGAGGAGCCCAGAGCCUGAAUCAGCAUGUGUGUUAGUGGAAGCGUCUGGAAAGGCGCGCGAUACAGGGUGACAGCCCCGUACACAAAAGCGCAUGUGCUGUGAGCUCGAUGAGUAGGGCGGGACACGUGGUAUCCUGUCUGAAUAUGGGGGGACCAUCCUCCAAGGCUAAAUACUCCUGACUGACCGAUAGUGAACCAGUACCGUGAGGGAAAGGCGAAAAGAACCCCGGCGAGGGGAGUGAAAAAGAACCUGAAACCGUGUACGUACAAGCAGUGGGAGCACCCUUCGGGGUGUGACUGCGUACCUUUUGUAUAAUGGGUCAGCGACUUAUAUUCUGUAGCAAGGUUAACCGUAUAGGGGAGCCGUAGGGAAACCGAGUCUUAACCGGGCGUUAAGUUGCAGGGUAUAGACCCGAAACCCGGUGAUCUAGCCAUGGGCAGGUUGAAGGUUGGGUAACACUAACUGGAGGACCGAACCGACUAAUGUUGAAAAAUUAGCGGAUGACCUGUGGCUGGGGGUGAAAGGCCAAUCAAACCGGGAGAUAGCUGGUUCUCCCCGAAAGCUAUUUAGGUAGCGCCUCGUGAAUUCAUCUCCGGGGGUAGAGCACUGUUUCGGCUAGGGGGCCAUCCCGGCUUACCAACCCGAUGCAAACUGCGAAUACCGGAGAAUGUUAUCACGGGAGACACACGGCGGGUGCUAACGUCCGUCGUGAAGAGGGAAACAACCCAGACCGCCAGCUAAGGUCCCAAAGUCAUAGUUAAGUGGGAAACGAUGUGGGAAGGCCCAGACAGCCAGGAUGUUGGCUUAGAAGCAGCCAUCAUUUAAAGAAAGCGUAAUAGCUCACUGGUCGAGUCGGCCUGCGCGGAAGAUGUAACGGGGCUAAAC
rnacentral:rRNA from 2 species